UACGGGGGGGGCAAGCGUUGUUCGGAAUUACUGGGCGUAAAGGGCGCGUAGGCGGUGCUCUAAGUCGGAUGUGAAAACUCUGGGCUCAACCCAGAGCCUGCAUCCGAAACUGGAGUGCUAGAGUUCUGGAGGGGGUAGCGGAAUUCCUGGUGUAGCGGUGAAAUGCGUAGAUAUCAGGAGGAACACCGGUGGCGAAGGCAGCCCCCUGGGAUAACACUGACGCUCAUGCACGAAAGCGUGGGGAGCAAACAGG
rnacentral:rRNA from 1 species